UACGAGUGCUCCAAGCGUUAUCCGGAAUCAUUGGGCGUAAAGGGUGUGUAGGUGGUAGUGUUAGUCUUGUGUUAAAUUCUUCGGCUCAACCGGGGGCAUGCAUGGGAAACGGCACUACUAGAGGAUGCGAGAGGCACAUGGAACUCAUGGAGUAGGGGUGAAAUCCGUUGAUAUCAUGGGGAACACCGAAAGCGAAGGCAAUGUGCUGGCGCACUCCUGACACUGAAACACGAAAGCGUAGGUAGCGAAUGGG
rnacentral:rRNA from 1 species